GGCGGCUGCUGGGCCCGGCCGAGGCGUUCGCUGGAGCCGGGACAGUAUCCUUCCGUGCGGCCAGGGCACCUCGGGCCGGGCCGUGCCAGGCGCGGCCGGGCGGCCGCCUCUCGGCGCGGGGGGUUCCGGGCGAGGGCCGAGGCCAGCGGUGGUGUGGCGGAGAGAGAGGCAGGAGAGCGGUCAGGUGAGAGCGCGGGCGGCCUCGCAGUAGGCCCGGGCCAGUGAGUGCCGCGGCUGCCAACAUCCACCUCUUCUCCUGCAGCCGGUCUCUAGAACUGGUAGCAGACACUUAUAGACCAGAGAUGGACCUACUGGACACGCUCCCAUGAGCCGAGCUACAGCUGGCGAGGCUGAUUGGAUGCUGGCGUGAGCUGCCCACAGGCAGGUGGAGGAGUUCCUAUCUCUGGAAGGAUUUCAAAGCUGUAGAGCUGAGAUGCUGAGGCACGUGGCUUGGCAUUGUGAGCUGGCCCCUGGGACUGGGAGCUGACACUUACAAACCAGAGCUGGACCUCCAGAGCCUGCUCUUUGGAGCCGAGCUACAGCUGGCAAGAUGAUCGAGGGCACCGUUCUGUCGAUGACCUGUGGUGCGUCGCCACAAUCUGACACUUCAAGUGCGUGACGGUGCAGUUGUGGGAGCUGGGCCAUGUGCCCGAAGUGUAUUCUCCUGUGGUCAAGUCCCUCAUCAACUCAUACGGCUGCCUGGACGAUUCGCUCCGGUUCUCAGCCAGCACAAGCGCGGCCUUCGUACACCGCAUCGUCAAGGAGGAGGUGCCUCUGGCGAUCCGACCACAUGCCAUGGGGCUGCUCGAGUGCCUGCUGCAGCUGGCACGGGAGGACGGCAGCCCCUCCUGGUGGUGAGCAGCUGUGCACCGACUCGAUUCUACGAGAGAAUAGUGAUAGUGAUUAAGAGAGAUAAGUCACCAAUUGUGAUACUCUUAUCUAAAGGACAGUGCAGUAAAGUCUAUUUACUUUCGUUUCUUUUGAAAUUCUUAUCACAUGUCUUAUAUUUUUAGCCAGGAUGCGACAAUUCACAUUCAUCUACUUUAUUGUUACAGACCCUCUUGAAGUCAUCCUAAGCUUACACGCUUUUGCUUUUCCAUUAAAUGAAUCUCAUUCGUGUCAGUUUUCUUUCUUUCCAGGCAAAAAUCAAUUUUACGUACAUCUUAUGUUGGGGCCUGGGCUAUAAUGAAUGUUAUGGAGUCAGUCAGAAACAGAGAAAGUCUGCAGUUUGUAUUUGAAUUGCCUUCUACAGCAAAAAAGAACAGAAAGGAAUGCCUAUGUGAUAGCAAGCUUGAGCCAGGGGAAAACCAAAACAGCAGAUUGUAACAGAAACAAGGUCAAAGCAAGAAGAUAGGACAGGACAUUAAAGUAAGCAUUGUUAGAAGACUGAAUAGAGCAUUCAAUUUAGCAUUAUAUGAUUGAUUGUACUUGACUAAUAAAUUGUAACAUAUGGAACUAACAAUAAUAUAACGUUAACUAAAUGUAAGGUAAGCAUAACCAUAGUGUGAGAGAAAACUAACUGAAGGCCGAACAGAUGGGGUGAUAUUUUAGACACAAUAAGGCUGAUGUUUUAAGCACAAUAAGGAUGGUGUUUUUACACAAUGAGGUUGGUGUUUAAGUUGUUACAAAAAGGAAACUUUGAGGCCUUAUGCGUAGCGCGUGAUGCUUAGUAUUAACUUUCUGCCAUGAAUUGUAGCACGUACACAGCAUUUGAAAAAGGUAUAUAAGUGAUGAUUAUGUGACAGUAAAUUGGAGCUGAUGCACAUCAUAUUGGUGUCUGGUCACUCCCGUUUCACGCAACAAAGAAGAAGAACCCCUGCACAAAGAAAAAAGAACCCUGCAAUCUUAACUUGAACUUCAGAUUCUAUCCUGAACACAGGAUAGAAACACAAAAAGGGGGUUAAAACCUUUCCUCCACCCUCACCCAUUGGGUAUAAAACAUUUCACACAGACACACUGGCUGUAGAAGCUGUAAAGA